UACGAAGGGGGCUAGCGUUGCUCGGAAUCACUGGGCGUAAAGCGCACGUAGGCGGAUUGUUAAGUCAGGGGUGAAAUCCUGGAGCUCAACUCCAGAACUGCCUUUGAUACUGGCGAUCUUGAGUCCGGGAGAGGUGAGUGGAACUGCGAGUGUAGAGGUGAAAUUCGUAGAUAUCGGGAGGAACACCAGUGGCGAAGGCGACUACCUGGCCUGUUCUUGACGCUGAGGCGCGAAAGCUAGGGGAGCAAACGGG
rnacentral:rRNA from 1 species